UAGCCUAGUGGCUAAGGCUAUGGACCGCCAAUCCGGAGACGGCGGGUUCGAUUCCCGU
rnacentral:tRNA from 1 species